GUUCGGCGCCAAAGCGCGGAGCGGAGGCCGAGGCGAGAGCCUGGCGCUGUAGGACUAGAACGAAAGGAGUGAGGCGCCGAGAGCCCAGAUACCAUUUUGGCGUGAGAGCUGGUGGUUGGCAAGGCCGCGGGAGUGGGAAGCGUCCGCCAUGUUCUGCGAAAAAGCCAUGGAACUGAUCCGCGAGCUGCAUCGCGCGCCCGAAGGGCAACUGCCUGCCUUCAACGAGGAUGGACUCAGACAAGUUCUGGAGGAGAUGAAAGCUUUGUAUGAACAAAACCAGUCUGAUGUGAAUGAAGCAAAGUCAGGUGGACGAAGUGAUUUGAUACCAACUAUCAAAUUUCGACACUGUUCUCUGUUAAGAAAUCGACGCUGCACUGUAGCAUACCUGUAUGACCGCUUGCUUCGGAUCAGAGCACUCAGAUGGGAAUAUGGUAGCGUCUUGCCAAAUGCAUUACGAUUUCACAUGGCUGCUGAAGAAAUGGAAUCUCGCUCUGUUGCCCAGGCUGGAGUACAGUGGUGCAUUCUCUGCUCACUGCAACUUCCGCCUCCUGGCUUCAAGCAAUUCUCCUGCCUCAGCCUGCCAAGUAGCUGUGAUUACAGAUGGAGUGGUUUAAUAAUUAUAAAAGAUCUCUUGCUACUUAUAUGAGGUCACUGGGAGGAGAUGAAGGUUUGGACAUUACACAGGAUAUGAAACCACCAAAAAGCCUAUAUAUUGAAGUCCGGUGUCUAAAAGACUAUGGAGAAUUUGAAGUUGAUGAUGGCACUUCAGUCCUAUUAAAAAAAAAUAGCCAGCACUUUUUACCUCGAUGGAAAUGUGAGCAGCUGAUCAGACAAGGAGUCCUGGAGCACAUCCUGUCAUGACCAUGCGCCGAGGCACUUCCAGGCUUCACUCAACUCAUGGACUCCUCUGUACUCACUCUCUCCACCACUCCCUUCACCUCCCUCUUUGAUUUUAGAAGCUAUAGACAUUGUUUAAGAUAACUAAGAAUACUUGGCUAAGAAGUAUAAUUUGCUAACUAUUAAGGACUUUCUUUUUUUAAUGUUGUACACUAUUCUUCCUACUCUUUUUUGGUUUUGGUUUUGUUUUGUAGAGACUGUCUCACUAUGUUGCCCAAGCUGGUCUCAAACUCCUGGCCUCAAGCAGUCCUCCCACCUUAGCUUCUCAAAGUGUUGAGAUCACAGGCGUGAGCCACUGCACCCGGCCCCUACUCCUUUUUCUAAUAAGCUGUAUCUGUAAUCACAGCAUUCCUACAGUUGUUACAGUGUGUUUUUUAAAUGAAAGUAAACAUGGUUACAUUUGAAUCUCUUAAAUAAGCAGUCACUUGGCUGGACAGGAAGAAGGUAGAUCCUGUGUGUCUUGUUUUCUGGUCAUGUGUAUUGUACAAGCUAGAGAGCUGAAUUUCUGAGAUACACAUUUUCAAAUCACAUGCAAGUGAAGAUGAUGGUCUGUAGAAAUUUUCAGUAUAUAUAAUGUUUAAUGACAUACUAAUUUAUCAUCUGGCUAUUUGGGAAGGAAGGACACACAUGGAUUUUGCACAUUUCCACCAUGGUGGCUGGUGUGGCUUGUGGCUAUGGGGUGAUCACCAGUAUCACCACUUUGGAAGGGGACAGUGAAAUUGGGGCUAGAGAAGGAACUUUGUACAGUUUUCCCUGAGAUUCAGAUUGACUGAAAAGUCACAUGAAGAGUUGAUUGUCUUUUAAUGGUAUGUUUUAAACAGCUGACAUUUUAAAUUUUGAUGAAAUCCAGUUUAUUCGUUUGUUCUUUUAUGCUUUGGGUGUUGCAUCCGAGAAAUCUUUUCCCAUCCCAAGAUCACAAUUUUUUUUCCUUUUUACUUCUAGAAGUGUUAUAAUUUUAAGCUUUAUACUUUGGUCUAUGACCCGUUUUUUUUUUUGUUUUGUUUUGUUUUUUCGUUUGUUUCUUUGUUUUGAGAUGGAGUCUUGUUCUGUCACCCAGGCUGGGGUGCAGUGGCGUGAUCUUGGCUCACUGCAAUCUCUAUCCCCUGGGUUCAAGUGAUUCUCUUGUCUCAGCCUCCCAAGUAGCUGGGAUUACAGGCACAGGCCGCCACGCCUGGCUAAUUUUUGUAUUUUUAGUAGAGACAGAGUUUUACCAUGUUGGCCAGGCUGGUUUCAAACUCCUGACCUCAAGUGACCCACCUUGGCCUCCCAAAGUUUUGGGAUUACAAGUGUGGGCCACCGCGGCCAGCCUAUGAUCCAUUUUGAAUGAAUUUUUUAUAUGGUGCAAGGUGUCAAUCCACCUUCACUUUUUCUUGGGAAUAUAGAUAUCCAGCUGUUUCACUACCAUUUUUUGAAAGGACUGCCCUUUGCUCUAUCACCUUUGCAUUUUUGUUAAAAAGUAGUUGUCAAUGUAUAUGUGGGUUUAUUUCAGGACUCUGUUUUGUUCCAUUGACCUGUUUUUCUCUCCUGAAUGCCAAUACCAUAUUUGUAUGUAGUGUAUGUAAUUUUCUAAUAAUUCUUGAAACAGAUAGUAUUAAUGUGUCAUAUUUUUGCUGUUGUUUGUAUUUUUUGUAGAGAUGGGGUUUCACCGUGUUGGCCAGGCUGUGUUGAACUCCUGAGCUAAAGCAAUACACUUGCCUCGUCCUCCCCAUGUGCUGGGAUUACAGGCGUGAGCCUUGGUGCUGGCCCAGUGUACCACAUUUCUUUUUGAGAUUUGUUUUGGCUAUGUUAAGUCCUUUGCUUUUGAUGUGAAAUUUGGGAACAGGCAGGGUGUGGUGGCUUAUGCCUGUAAUCCUAGAACUUUGGGAGGCCUAGAUGGGUGGAUCACUUGAGCUCAGGAGUUCCAGACCAGCCCGGGCCUAUGGCAAAACUCCGUCUCUACAAAAAAUAGAAAAAAUUAGCCAGGUGUGGUGGUGCAUGCCUGUAGUCACAGUUACACGGCAGGCUGAGGUGGGAGGAUCACUUGAACCCCAGAGGUCAAGACUGCAGUGAGCUGAGAUCACACCACUGUACUCCAGCCUGGGUGACAAAGUGAGACUCUAUCUCAAAAAGAAAUUAGGAUCAAUUUGUCAAUUUCUACAACAACAACAACAAAAACCCCUGUUGGGCACCUUGAUUGAGAUUGCAUUGAAUUUAUAUAAAACUGUUGGGAGAAUUGACAUCUUAAUAAUAUUGAGUCUUCUGGCCUAUAAACAAGGUCUGUCUUCCUAGGUAUUAAUGUUUUGUCUUCUAUUUCUCUUAAUAAUCUUUUGUAGUUUUCAGUGUACAGGUCUACCAUGUCAGCAUUUCAUAGUUUUGAUGCUAAAUGGUAUUUUAAAAUUUCAAAUUCUAACCACUUGUUGCUAGUAAAUAGAAAUACAAUUGAUGUUGAACUUGUAUCCUUCAGCCUUGCUAAACUGUGAGUUCUCAUGGUGUUUUUGUAAAUUACAUCAACAGUCAUGUGUUCUAUGAAUAAAGAGUUUUACUCCUUCCUUUCUAA